GUCCAUGGCCAUACCACCCUGAAUGUACUCAAUCUUGCCUGAUCUUGGAAGCUAAGCAGGGUUGGGCCUAGCUAGUACUUGGAUGGGAGAAAUAGCCAGUUUGGGAGCUGGGAAUG
rnacentral:rRNA from 1 species